UCGUGAAGUGCCACUGCGGCGGGAGAAAGCAGAGGUGCCGGGAUGUGGCGGCGCCCUGAUGCGCAUCCUGUUCUCAACUUCUGGGAACUUACCCCACCCCCUGCCAAUUUACCCCAUUGGCUCUUAAUGUUAGAGAUUAUCUAGUCCUUAAAGUUACUGGUUGACAGACUAUGUUGUAAUAAGCUUGGGGAAAGCAAAGAUAUAUUGUUUUUCUGCAUUCUCUCAGUCUUGUGUCCCCCUCAGUCUUGUGCCUAGCACAUGAUUCCACAUGUAACUGCUGGAUUUCUUACACUGUUUACAAUACAGCCAGGUUGCAGUUUUCUUGAUGGUCCUGUGUUCUUUCCAUUACUCCAUAUGAAUCUAAUGAGUGCUACAUUAAAAGUUUUAGGCCUGAAUUAUACUUUUCCACACAGUUUUAAUUCCAUAGCAUCUAAUUUUGUUCCCUGGUGUGUAAAAUGUAGUCAUUAUCUAUCAUUAAAUGAGAUAUAUGUGAAAGUAUUUUAUAAAUUGUAAGGCACUGGACAAAUAAACAUUUGAAGUCUAGUUUGGA